rnacentral:rRNA from 1 species
UCGAGGAUCUUCGGCAAUGGGCGCAAGCCUGACCGAGCGACGCCGCGUGCGCGAUGAAGGCCUUCGGGUUGUAAAGCGCUGUCGAGGGGGAGGAAGCCGCAAGGUUGACCUAUCCCUGGAGGAAGGACGGGCUAAGUUCGUGCCAGCAGCCGCGGUAAGACGAACCGUCCUAACGUUGUUCGGAAUCACUGGGCUUAAAGGGCGCGUAGGCGGGCCAUCAAGUCCGGGGUGAAAUCUUUCGGCUUAACCGGAAAACAGCCUUGGAUACUGAUGGUCUCGAGGGAGGUAGGGGCCUGUGGAACUUCCGGUGGAGCGGUGAAAUGCGUUGAUAUCGGAAGGAACGCCGGUGGCGAAAGCGACGGGCUGGACCUCUUCUGACGCUGAGGCGCGAAAGCUAGGGGAGCAAACGGGAUUAGAUACCCCUGUAGUCC